UGGAUCCAGACUUUGAUCAUGGCUCAGGAUGAACGCUAGCUACAGGCUUAACACAUGCAAGUCGAGGGGCAUCAGGAAGAAAGCUUGCUUUCUUUGGUGGCGACCGGCGCACGGGUGAGUAACACGUAUCCAACCUGCCCUUUACUCGGGGAUAGCCUUUCGAAAGAAAGAUUAAUACCCGAUAGCAUAAUGAUUCCGCAUGGUUUCAUUAUUAAAGGAUUCCGGUAAAGGAUGGGGAUGCGUUCCAUUAGGUUGUUGGCGAGGUAACGGCUCACCAAGCCUUCGAUGGAUAGGGGUUCUGAGAGGAAGGUCCCCCACAUUGGAACUGAGACACGGUCCAAACUCCUACGGGAGGCAGCAGUGAGGAAUAUUGGUCAAUGGGCGGUAGCCUGAACCAGCCAAGUAGCGUGAAGGAUGAAGGCUCUAUGGGUCGUAAACUUCUUUUAUAUAAGAAUAAAGUGCAGUAUGUAUACUGUUUUGUAUGUAUUAUAUGAAUAAGGAUCGGCUAACUCCGUGUCAGCAGCCGCGGUAAUACGGAGGAUCCGAGCGUUAUCCGGAUUUAUUGGGUUUAAAGGGAGCGUAGGUGGACUGGUAAGUCAGUUGUGAAAGUUUGCGGCUCAACCGUAAAAUUGCAGUUGAUACUGUCAGUCUUGAGUACAGUAGAGGUGGGCGGAAUUCGUGGUGUAGCGGUGAAAUGCUUAGAUAUCACGAAGAACUCCGAUUGCGAAGGCAGCUCACUGGACUGCAACUGACACUGAUGCUCGAAAGUGUGGGUAUCAAACAGGAUUAGAUACCCUGGUAGUCCACACAGUAAACGAUGAAUACUCGCUGUUUGCGAUAUUCAGUAAGCGGCCAAGCGAAAGCAUUAAGUAUUCCACCUGGGGAGUACGCCGGCAACGGUGCAACUCAAAGGAAUUGACGGA
rnacentral:rRNA from 1 species